AACUCACCAUAACGCUAAGCUUAAUGACGAAGUGAUAAACCUUAGCCGACGAGCGCUCUUGUUUGUUAAACCCAGAUAGGUGAGGGUAGUUGAACCCAAGUCGACGAUGCAAUGUGAGAGGGAAAUGUGAGAGGGAGAAUACAUUUGGGAAAUUUUGAGUUUAAGAGGGAAUUUUAAUUUGUAAAGUGCAUGACCUCCUUAGAAUAACAUCAAAACCCCUGUUAACAUUAACAUUCAAUCAAUUUUGUUUUAACUAUUUUAAAUGAUAUUAAUUUGUGGAAGAUUUUUAUAACCUCUACAAAAUAACCUCUGUAGAAUGACA
rnacentral:lncRNA from 1 species